rnacentral:rRNA from 1 species
UACGAAGGAUGCAAGCGUUAUCCGGAUUCACUGGGUUUAAAGGGUGUGCAGGUGGGGUAAUAAGUCAGUGGUGAAAGCCCCCGGCUCAACUGGGGAGGGUCACGCGAUACUGAUCGACUCGAAGGCAGGAGAGGGUAGUGGAAUUCCCGGUGUAGUGGUGAAAUGCGUAGAUAUCGGGAGGAACACCAGUGGCGAAGGCGACUACCUGGCCUGUUCUUGACGCUGAGGCGCGAAAGCUAGGGGAGCAAACGGG